GCUGGCGGCGUGCCUAACACAUGCAAGUCGAGCGAUCUCUUCGGAGAGAGCGGCGGACGGGUGAGUAACGCGUGGGUAACCUGCCCUGUACACACGGAUAACAUACCGAAAGGUAUACUAAUACGGGAUAACAUACGAAAGUCGCAUGGCUUUUGUAUCAAAGCUCCGGCGGUACAGGAUGGACCCGCGUCUGAUUAGCUAGUUGGUAAGGUAAUGGCUUACCAAGGCAACGAUCAGUAGCCGACCUGAGAGGGUGAUCGGCCACACUGGAACUGAGACACGGUCCAGACUCCUACGGGAGGCAGCAGUGGGGAAUAUUGCACAAUGGGCGAAAGCCUGAUGCAGCAACGCCGCGUGAGCGAUGAAGGCCUUCGGGUCGUAAAGCUCUGUCCUCAAGGAAGAUAAUGACGGUACUUGAGGAGGAAGCCCCGGCUAACUACGUGCCAGCAGCCGCGGUAAUACGUAGGGGGCUAGCGUUAUCCGGAAUUACUGGGCGUAAAGGGU
rnacentral:rRNA from 1 species